UUGGAGGGCAAGUCUGGUGCCAGCAGCCGCGGUAAUUCCAGCUCCAAUAGCGUAUAUUAAAGUUGUUGCAGUUAAAAAGCUCGUAGUUGAAUUUCGGGACUAAUAUGUCGGUCGUACUUUGUACGUACUAGCAUUAUUGGUUUCUCCCUUCUGACGAACCACGAUGUCAUUAAUUUGGUGUCGUGGGAAAUCAGGACUGUUACUUUGAAAAAAUUAGAGUGUUUAAAGCAAGCUCGCGCUUGAAUACAUUAGCAUGGAAUAAUGAAAUAGGACGUUUGAUUCUAUUUUGUUGGUUUCUAGGAUCGACGUAAUGAUUAAUAGGGAUAGUUGGGGGCAUUAGUAUUCAAUUGUCAGAGGUGAAAUUCUUGGAUUUAUUGAAGACUAACUACUGCGAAAGCAUUUGCCAAGGAUGUUUUCAUUAAUCAAGAACGAAAGUUAGGGGAUCGAAGACGAUCAGAUACCGUCGUAGUCUUAACCAUAAACUAUGCCGACUAGGGAUCGGAUGAUGUUAAUUUUAUAAUGACGCGUUCGGCGCCUUACGGGAAA
rnacentral:rRNA from 1 species